AGGCGAGCCUGGCCCCCAUGCCUGAGAGCCAGAUUCCAUUCCCUGGCAGCCUCACCUUGGAUCGGACAGGGAGGGAUCCUAGGACACCAGCCUCGUCUAUCCUCCCUGGGACACCCUAGAACCUCACAGCCUGUGGGAAACACCAGGGCAUGGAGGGUCAAGCCUACAAAAUCCCCCAGUAGGUGAUUAGGAUAAGGUGAGCACUGGCCCUAGCUGACUCAGGCCAGCCCCCCAAGCAGCCAGACCACGUGAGAAGUGAUGGCCACACAAUGCUCUGGGUGUCUCAAGGAAAGUCCAAGAGCAGUGGCACUCCGGGCUGCAUCCUUGGAGUAAGCACAGAGCAAGACCCCAGCAUGCUUUGCAGACCCCGCCUUAUGAGCCCUGCACCCCACUGCUCCGGGAGGGGUCAGCACCCCCAUGCCAGGGCUGGUUUUCGGGGUGGGUGCCUGGACAAUCUGAAGGACCUUUCGGCCACAAGGUGUUGAGAACUCUGCAGAGGAUGCUGGGGAUUAGCACAACAAGCUCUGCUCCUUCAGGCUGUGCGAGGCCUCAUGAAAGCUCCUAAAAAUCAGAGGAAGGGCCAUGGCAGAGCCUGGGACAAGUGGGCAGCUCACAGAGGGGACUGGGUGCUUGCCAUUAGCCCAGACUUCUCCCACUGCUCCUGCCUCAACUGCUACUGCCCGGAGUCUAAGCCCACUUUGUUGACAAGUACCCAUUCUAUAGAGAGCCUCGCCUAACUCCAGGUAGAGGCAGAAAAGUGUGUGUAGAUCAAAUGGCCCAGCUGGCAGCAGAGCCAAAAGUCAUGCUUACUUGCUGGCCAGCCUUGCACAAGGCACCAAGGGUCACCUCUGCAGGCUUCAGAUCCUGCCCUCUGUGAACAGUCAAAAAGAAGGUGUCAGAAGGAGCUAGAGGAUGCAAGGGUGGCCAAGGGGCACAGAGGAGGGUCAGGUUACACUGGGAGGGAAGAGAGGCAGCCUUUGCAUUCUCUAGGAGAAGCAGGGCGGGAGACUUUGGAGCCCAGCUCCCUGAUGGGACAUAUGGGAACCUGCGGGGACAGGAGAGUGUCUUUGAUAGGCGAGCCCAGUGCCUCUUACCUUCAGGAGGGCGCCUGAGCUGUGAAGUCUGCCCCUGUUGCUCAGAGAUAGUUCCCUCCAGCAGGAAAACCUCUUUGAGGUGAGUUACGGCUUCUGGAGGCACAAGGAUGGGCCGAGGUCACCAGGCCUUGCCUGUCCACCUUACCUACCCUGAAGUGCAUGACCUUUCUUAGGGACAGAGCCUCUCUAGUUAAUCUUAGAGCCUGGCCAGGAGCCCAGGAUGGGGCAGCAUGGGGCACAACACUUACUAGAUGGUCAGGCGAGGGGAGCAACUGGGACCCUCCCCUCCAGUUCGAGCCAUGUGUGUCAUGUAUGUGCAUGUACAUGUGUGUAUGUAAUGUGAAGUCAGAUGUGUGUAUGUGUGCAUAUGCAAGGACAUGCUAAUGUGUGUGUGCAUGUACACGUGUGAAUCUGUGCAAGCACAUACAAGUGUGCAUGGGCGUGGACAUGUAUGUGCAUGCAUGUGGAAGUAAGUGUACAGGUACAGUCUGAAUCUGUGUGUGCACACACAAGUGUGCAUGGGUGUGGGCAUGUGUGUAUGUGCAUGCAUGUGGAAGUGUGGAAGUGUACAGGUACAGUCUGAAUCUGUGUGCACACAUAAGUGUGCAUGGGUGUGGGCAUGUGUGUAUGUGCAUGCAUGUGGACGUGUGUGAGUUGCCCUAGCACAUGUUUGUACAUAUGCUUGUGUGCACCCAUGCUAGGCUGCUCUCCCUCCUGGUUCUCUUUCAGGACAGGCCAAGUGAACCAGGGCGAGCUCUUCUCUCCCUCUGACGGCCCCUCCACAGGAGAGGGACCUGGGACCAAGGUUCCUUCAGCCAUCAGACCCUAAGUCUCAGGGCACAGGGUCAGAAAGCUUCUAAGGACCCAUGAAAAUAUAGAAACUGGGUGAAAUUAACUCUUAUUGGCCCGACAUAUGAAAAGAAAAUUGCUUUUGAGCUUCCAGGAGAUCUUCUCAGGUUUUGUUUUGGGGAUUUCCUGGGAAGGGCAUGUUUCCAAACAAGACUCUUGCCGUCUGCUCCCCCGGAGCUCCCCAACCAGCCAGGAGAGGCCACUGGCAGGGAAGAAGGUCCAGCCCAGCACAGACUCCCCAGGGAGGGCCCCAGCCCAGUGGAAGGACCAUGGAAACCAUGUCAGUCUCCCUCAGCGGCUGCCCUGGGUUGACAUGUCCCCUUAGGGAUCUCAGGCUCUCAACCCUCUAGUCAAUUCUGAGCUGAGUUUUUCUGGAGCUUUAUAUUCAACUCUGACUUUGCUUCCCUUCACCUCUACUCCCCACCCUAGAAAUAGAAACCUGAGGUCAGGAAGUGCUGAGGGUCCUUGGGUUUGGUGUCGGGGAAGACACCGUGCUGACUCGAACCCACUAGGCCUGGAGCCCAAAAGUCCCUUCUCUGUGACCUGCGACAAGCCUCUACAGCCACGUCUCCUUCCCUGUGGUAACCGAGUGACACCAAUUGGCUCCCAGCCACCGCUGGGCCUCAGGCAGUUGCAGUGGCUUCGGCACUGGCUUUGCUGAGCCAGUGACAGCGACGGCACCUCCUGGAUGUGAAAUGUGCCAACACCCUGGCCUCGGGGACCGUACGGCGUGGUGUGAAAUUUCUGUUUUAACGCUCCAUGACCACAUAGGUCUUGGCUUUUUAUGAGUAAAGCAGAGACCGUGUUGUACCCAAGCUCUCUGGGUGGCACCCACAGCUUCCUCAGCGGGGUAACGGUGACGGGUGGACAACUGGCCCACAGGCAAACUGCACGUCCCCCACGGCGAGCAUCUCUGAGCUGCACUGACCAGUUCAGGCCCAUGCGUCACCGGCAUUUUUCUGAGCCAGCUCCUCUGGUUCAUGAGAAGGUCUGAAUUCAAGAAAUGAACGCCCAGCAAUUAGCAAUGUCCACAGAAUCAAAGGAGCAUGGUUUUAGUUGUCCUCCCAGGCAGCUUUGCCAGUCCGGGUAUGAGGUAAAGCCAGAGGGACCCUGCCUCACCCACGCGCCCCAAGAGGGGUCCAAGGACCACCGACUGUCCCCACUUCCCUGGAACUGAGGAUGAGGCUGAUUCAUGUGUUUCCUGUGACGGCCACGACAUCAUCAUAUCCGCUCGGAGAACUAUUUUUAACUGAUUUAUGUAUUUCUUGUAUGAGGAAGACACCAACUUCUCCUUUAGUCAGUUUUACAGGAAAGUACUGCAGCUGUGCUCAGCUCAGCAAUAUUAAUCGCCACAGAGCACCCUCCGAAGUCUUGCAAAAAUUAAUAAAGUUGGAAAUAUGAGUCAGGUUUGGAUGCCACUCAUUCUGAAAAAGAAGAAACUCAAUAAUAGUUACCUUCUCCUGUAGAAUCAACGAGCCCAGUUUGCGAAAGAGCACCCUGUGUCUUUAAAUUUCCGUGGCGUGCCCACAGAGGAAGGUGUUCCGACCUCUGCUGCCGCUGCAGCUCCGGGGCACUGACCACACAGAGCUGGUUUCUGCACUUGCAUCGCUUGCCCGAGAGCUAGUCACCGCGGGCGUGGGCGAGGCUGCCAGGGGCCACCUGCCUGCCAGAGCCAGGGUGCCUAUCUUUAAGGCCAGGGGCUCCUGAGGACACAGACACUUCCCUCCUCUUUCAGACAAGGACAAGCUCAGGGACAUGGGUGGUUUGGGCUCAGGCUGACCGGGAAAGACACGUAGAAAGUUUGGUGUGCGCUCUGGGUUGUGGGGGCCCGGCGGGAGGGUGGGCUUCAGGAUCCCGUCCCAGGACGCGUUCAUUCAGCGGCACUCACACCCCCAGCACCUGCUCCCGGCGGGUGCCGAGGCUUCUUUCACUCUUCUUAGCAUCUCCCCAUCACUCACUUGACUCCAACCAACAGCCACUUAUGUACCAGCUACGCGCCAGGUUGCUGAACAGCUCUGAGCAAUUAAAGGGCAGCCAGGAGCAGCUGGGAGAGGAGGGGCUGGAGGAGGAAGAGGGGUCCAGGACCCAGGGGCUCACGGGGCAUCCCGAAGUCUUUGUGGAGACCUAGGGUUGGGGCUGCAGCAGGGGGUCGGGGGGCAGCCAGAGAUCCCGGUAGACCCGGGAGGGGCCUGAUCAAGGAGAAGGAGGGGCCACAGAGCCAGGGUCAGGACAGACUGUGAGGGGGCCUCUUGUUGGGACAGCGUCCCCUCGGAGCAAGAGCCCGGGGCGUGUGGCCGCCUCACUGUGACCUCCGGCCGUGCAGGCCUCUGGGGAGGGUGGAGAUGUUUUCCCCUUCUCAGAGCACGCAGGUGUUACCUGCCCACAGAGUAGGAAGUGGGGUGCUGUCACCUGCACCGCACAGGUGAGGAAGCUGAAAACCCAAGACCCAAGCCAUUUGGUCUCACUCUGGCUGAAUCACCUGGAGGCUUUGGGAAACAGAUUUUCUUCCCCCUUCCAGCCUUACCGCCACCCUCCUCUCUUCUAGAAGAGGCAAGAAGAAGCGGGGGUGGGGGUGCAGGCCGAAUUGCCUGGAGGUUAGGGGGACCCUCAGCACCUGAGUCAGGGCUCUGUGAGACCCCCUGGUUCUUCGCUCACUGUGGGCUGAGACGCAAGCUGAGUCGUCCACAGGAAGAUACCCUCUUACUCUGAACAACCACUCUUUCAAAGAGGACACUGAGGCUCAGAGAGGCUCCCCAAAGCAAUGGCCAGCCACCAUGGGCAGGACGUGGACUCCGGCCCAGGAAGCCUGGCUCCAGAAUCAUGCUCCAGGCCUCUAAGCUGUAAUUUGUGUCCUCCAGGGCUCACAAUAUCUAAGAUUUAAUGUGGAAAAAUGGUGCUAUUCUGUCUCACCCCAUGCCCCAAAAUGAACUUAAAGGCAAAAAAAAAAAAAAAAAAAAAGAAUAAUUAUAAAGUUUGGAAGAAAAUACAAGAGCAUUUUGGUAUAAAAAUGCAAAAUCCAAAGCCUUAAAGGAAACCAUUUGACUACUUAAAAUUUAAAAACUUUUAUGUGAUGAAAAGAACAACCUUAAAAAGGUAAAAUAAUAAGCAGCAGACUGGGAACGAAUAUCUGCAAUGUAAACACAAAGUACUGAUAUUCAUCAUAUAUAAAGAACUCCCACAAAUCAACAAGAAAAAAGCAAAUGACUAGCUAGAAAAGUGGUAAAGGGUAAAAACAGAAACAUAGUCAAAUAAACUAAUGAAUAUCACAAAAUAUCCAACCUCCCUAUUAAUCAUAGAAAUAAGAAAUUGAAAAAUAUUUUAUGACUAAAUCUAGUGUUGCUCCAGUGAGGAAGGGAUCCACUGACAUGCCGUAUGCAGGGGUGUGAAUGGGAACAGGCUUUUGAGAGGUGAUUUGGAGUCUCUAUCACAAGUUUAAAUGCACCUGCCCUGAGACGCCCAUCCCUGGGAAGAGAUGUCCGUGCAGAUGUCUAAGGCACACGUCUGGAAACGGUGAAGACCUGAGAAGAACAAUCCUUAAGGGUCCCAGCCCCUGAGUGUUCACCUUCCAGGGAAACCAGUCCUCAUGGAGAACUCAGAGCCCUGGUGGGGUGGUUGCUGUGGUCUAGGGCCUUUGUCAAGGUUCAUCCCAGGCUGGGCUUUUGGAGGGCAGGGAGGCCGCUAGUAUCUGGGUGGCUGCCUGAGCCUGCAGAUCCCACACCCAGCUGCCCCGAGGAGCUACUGUCCACCUGGUGGAGACUCAGGCUGGGCCCAACUCAGAACUAGGAGCAAGGGAGUGAAGCAGGGAUGGGGUCCUGCAGAGGGGCGGUAGGGUCUGGCCCUCCUGGUCUGGGGGCCUCCCCGGGCGGGACAGUCCCUGUGUCCCACCCCAACCGCCUGCUGCUUUUUCUGGACCACCCCCCACCCCGUCCCCCGUUCCCCUCCAGGCUGGGCUUCCCACUGUCUUCCCACUGACUCAGCAUCCGUCCUUCCCGUGGGGGCAGCAGCAUCACUGCCUUCUCACGUGGAAUCCCAGGGAGCUGCAGCCUCCACCCUGCCUUCUGGAGAGUUCUGUCUCUAAUUUUAUACGCCCUAUCAGCCUGUUAUUCGAUCCAGAUGCCUGUGAAAUUUGCAGCGGGAUCGUUCUGUGACGGGCGGUGGGCAGCCCAGGCAGGGCUGCCGUUUCGUGCAUCAGCCCAGAGGUCUGAGAAGGGUGUGGCUCCUUCCCUGGGAAACAACAUGGGACUAGUUCCAGAGCCAACACCCAUCACUUUGCAACCCCCUGGGUAAGUGUGCGUGGGGGGGGGGGGGUGCUGAGCUGCAGCGGGGGGCAGAGGGCUCAGGCUGGACCACCCCUGCACCUUCCACAGUGAGGCCAUCCCCUCCUGAGCCUCUGGCUCCUGGCCUAUCCUCGCUCCCUCACCCAAGCCCCAUGAGGAUUCAGUAGCUUGAGAAGGACCCUCUGCUCACCAGAGGUCACAGUGACUGUGAGAACACCCUCCUGUCCUCUUCCCCCCAUUCCUUCCUGGACCUUGGGACACUUCUGGGAGGCAGCGCCCUCUCCCAACAGAGUCUUCUCCACAGGGCAGCCACGGGGACUUUGAGGAUACCAGGUCCUCACCCAGGCCCCCGUCUCAGAGUCAAAGCCGUAACUCCCAUAGCACAGUGGCCUUCGAGAUGCCCUCUUGUCACCCGCCAAGGGGUGCCGGCACUGAGUGCGAGGAUUUGACUUCCCACAAGAGGAAAGCAGGUUCUUUCCCAGGGGCCAUGCCAGGCCCCAGCACCUCUGCUGACCUGGCUCAGUGCGUCGGGGAAAAGGGGUGCCCAGCCUCCUCUGUGUCUCCAAGUCAGGGGCAUCCCAAGGCACCUCACUUGGGUGCUCUCAGAAAAGACAGCCCUGAAUCUCAGAGCCACCAAAGGCAGGCAGGAUUCGAGCCUGGCCUCAAGCAUGACUCUGGAACGUAAAGAGGAAAAGACGAUUUAGGUUAACGUGGGACACAGCCGGUUUCCCGCCCAAACCAAGGUCCAGGGGGACUUCUCAUCCCCAGCAGGGGGUGUGUCUACAAAGAACAACCACAAACUGGGGUCAUUUCCAAAAGAAACACUCCCGGCUUCCUCCAGGGGCAGAGACCGAGGGGUCUGGGGGAGGAGGCUGGGGUGGGCAGAGGCCCGAGGUAGGGAGGUCCAGGGGCACAUCCCAGGUCUGGCAGCAUGGGCCGGGCCCUGCUGGGAGGGGGCUGAGGACCCCAGAGCCUAGGCCUGUCCUAAGCCUGUCCUUAGCCGGAGAGCCUCGGCCCUGUGCUGGCAGCAGGGUCUUCACUCCUUGCCAGCUCCACAUAGGCAGUCAGGCUCAGGCCAGCCCCCAGCCAACAGCGGCUCCCAACACGCCCUGCCCUGUGGGAGAUGCCAAGCUGGCAUCCCUCUCGGGCCAGGCCAGGCCUCCUGGUGGUGUGGCCAGCGCUGGCACACAGUCCUGAAUUCCUUCAAAGAACAACAAACUGAAAAUCCAGCUGAGUUCAAAUUUGCCCAAAUUCCCACUUGAAGUUUCCCUGUCCCAGAGGGUGGUACCCGCCCCACCCCGGUGGGAUGUGGUGAAGGCAGUGGCUCCUCCCGGCCAUGAGGCAUAAACAAAUACCGCCUGGGCCACAGGGGCUUGGCCGGAGCCCUUGACUCAGCCCCACCCAGGCCCCCUCCUGCACCUCGACCGGCUCCUGGGGCUCCAUGACCCACAAGCCAGCAAGUUUCUCAGCUGCCCUGACACAGCCUAAGACGGGUCUCAAGUCCCUGUCGUGCCCGUCCCAGGAAACCGGUCUUCACCUAGUCAGUCCCAGAGACCUUGCUCCUCACGCCCAAGGUGAGCAGCCCCGUGUGAUUCUCAAUCUUUCAGGGUUGACCCUGACCUAACCCACAUCUCCACCUCAAGUCUCCCACUCCAGUCUGAGAAACCCUCCCCGCUCCAGCCCCUAAGCCCAGCCCAGCCCAGCCCCGCAGGGCCUCCUGACUCACCCAGAUCUGUCCCCACAAGAGGCCUCCUCACUCCUCAGUGGGAGACUCCGUGGCGUGCAGGCUCCAGGGGCUCUGUGGUCCCGGAAGCGAAGGUGGGGCUGGAGGAGGAAGCGAAGCGGAUGUCACCUUCCUUGAGGGAUUCUGGAGCCGCUUCAGUGGACAUCUUUGCCCUCUGACCUGAGCCUCUGAUUGGGUCAUGGGUGGCCAGCAGCACAGCUGAGCCUGUGUCCUGUGCAGCCCCAGCCCCUCCAGCGGGAUCACUGGCCCGUUGGGGAUGACAGAGAGACACUCCCCGUCCUCUGGAGCAGGGGUCCCCAGGCUGUGGUCUGUUAGGAACCGGCCGCGCGGCAGGAGGUGAGCGGUGGACCGGCCUGACCCUGAGCUCCGCCUCCUCUCGGAUCAGCGGCGGCAUUCACUUCUCACAGGAGCGUGACCCCUAUUGUGAACUGCACGCAAGGGAUCUAGGUUGUCCGCUCCUUAUGAGAAUCUAAUGCCUGAUGAUCUGAGAGGGAAACCAUCCCUUCUUCUCUCCAACACCCACAGAAUAAGUGUCUUCCACAAAACCUGUCCCUGGUGUCAAAAGGGUUGGGGACCACUGCUCUGGUGGGAAGGUGCCAGGCCCCUCAGCCCCUUCCAGGAGACUGAGAAAGGGUUCAGGAAACCUGGGGGGCCGGCUGGUUCACCACCCUCCCCCCACCCUUGGCUCACCCAAGUCAGGGGCUCCACCCCAGCAGGCAGAGCUGACAACUCACAGGGGUGUCUGGGGAGGGCAAUGUCCACUGCCAUCUGCCAGGUCACGGGGGGAUGCUGGAGGUCUGCUCUACCUCAGUUCCCCUGGCGUGGGUGCCUGGGGCUUCAGAUUCACCCUUGUGUGGAGGUGGGGAGGCAGGAUUGGGGAGGACCCUGAGUCUCCCAGGCAGGCAGCCUGGCACCGGGUGGGGGACUGUGAUCCAGCAAACCUGCUCAUUCUUGUGGGCGGCUAACGGCUUUUAUUUCAGGACACCCACAUGUGUUAAAACAGGAAAUAAAGUAUACGAGAAACAGCACCCCCACACACUCCCGGGUAAGGAGGCUUUUCCUCAGUCCUCCACUCACACCCACACAGCCCCAGGAGGGACCCCUAGGCACAGCCCACACCUCCACAUCCCAUCCAACCCCCACGUUCCUGGGCUGCUCUUUCUCUGAAGCAUUUUAACACACAGGCGUGAGUGCACAUACACACACACGUUUACCAACCAUGCUUGGUCCCUGUAGCGUCUCCUUCCACCUGGGGCAGGUGACAUAAGGGGUCAGGUGCCCGCUGACUCAGGACUUGUGGUUCCUGGAACUCUCAAACUGUGGCUGCAUGAGUCCCACCCUGAGGGCUGAUGGGGUGGACCCACAGAGUGCUGGACCUGCCCCAAACCUCAGAGCAUGUCGGGCUGAAUGUCCAGACACCGAGGAGCUUCGGGCAAGGUCAGGGGCCAGGCAUCGUGACAGUGUCCCCAGGCAGCUGACCAGGAGAGGACAAGGCAGCUGAGAGGGCCAGGGGAGGGGGUGUGGGAAUGCAGGGCUAGUGUCAGCAGGCCCAGCUGGGUGUGUGUCUCCUGGGAAUCUGCUACAGGGGCCCUAGCACUGCGCUGUGCUCCCCGGGGGACCCCCACCCACCCAGGCCAGGGCCAGGGUGGUGGCUCCGUGUAGUGGCCAGUGCUGUUCAGGGUCUGG
rnacentral:lncRNA from 1 species